UACAGAGGUCUCAAGCGUUGUUCGGAUUCAUUGGGCGUAAAGGGUGCGUAGGCGGCGCGGUAAGUCGGGUGUGAAAUCUCGGAGCUUAACUCCGAAACUGCAUUCGAUACUGCCGUGCUUGAGGACUGGAGAGGAGACUGGAAUUUACGGUGUAGCGGUGAAAUGCGUAGAUAUCGUAAGGAACGCCGGUGGCGAAAGCGAUCGACUGGACCUUUUCUGACGCUGAGGCGCGAAAGCCAGGGGAGCAAACGGG
rnacentral:rRNA from 1 species